rnacentral:sRNA from 1 species
GCUGGGUGUGGUGGUGCACACCUGUAAUCCCAGUAACUUGGGAGGCUGAGGCAGAAAGAUUGCAAUUUCAAAGCCAACCUCAGCAACUUAGUGAGGCCCUAAGCAACUUAAGCCCUGUCUCAA